UGCGGCGCAGAGCCAGAGGGCGCGGAGCCCGGGUGCGCUGGGCAUCGCGGCGGCCGGGAGGGCGGCGGGCACCGGUGGCGCACAGUCAGAGAGGAGCAGGCAUCGCUGCUUGGUCUUCACUCCUGGGUUUCACGGGUUGGGCUUGGCAGGGGAGGGCGGAGCCACGGAACUUUCUCGCCUCUCGCUCCCCUUCCCUCCUUCCCUCCGAGCUGGCAGGAAUUUCAUCCAGGAAAGAAAAAAAUCCGGGAAUUUCAUUUCAACCCGGAGAGCGGAGAGCGGGUCCUGCAGGCGUUUGGGCUGCGGGCUCAGGACCCCGUGCCAGAGCGGACAGCCUCGGGGCCACAGGGGAUCGGAGGAGGGCCCCGGAAGCACCUUGUUUGCUCGAGGUCACCCACUUGGGGGGGGGAGCAGCCCCAGAAGUACAACUCGGGGUCACCCGCCGCAGCCUGGCUCCUGGGGAGGGGAGCGAGGGGUUGUCUCGCCAGGUGGGCCGUGAAGGGCCGGAGCCGCGGGGCGGGUGGAGGUCGGGUGGCUACAGGAGGAGACUUCCAGCCGAGCCCCAGGCCCCCCACUAGAGAAGGUGUGACGUCCACUCACAAAGCGUCUUGCACGCGGCCCCAGUCAGGUGGGAGCCCGGGAGCCCUGGACCCUGCUCCCGGGAUGGAGCCAGGCGCCCGGCUGGGGGACGCGCCCACCUGGCGGUCCGGACCGGCCCGAGUCGGCAGUCUGGCGCCACCUGGAGGCCAGUCCGGCAGCUGCAGCUCCACCAGCCUGAGGCUGGAAGGGCCAGGCGGGAGGCUUGAGGGCGAGAGACGGUGGCUGAUGCUGGGCUCAUCCCGGCGCCGGGCCAAGCCCAGGGUGGAGUGAGAGCCGGCCGCGUCUCCUGACCUUACUCUCCCCACACGGUCCAUCCUGAGUGUACAGCGGCAGCCUGAAAGCCUCAGCGCAGCCAGUGGCCCUUCAUCCAGAACCGUCACCCCCACAGGGCCACUCAUCACCCCCCUCCCAUUCUCUGCUACUGCUCUCACCUCCCGGGCCCCAGGGGCUGCACGGCUGGGCCAGGAAGGCGGAAACCAAACCAACCGUUGCCCUCUGGGGUGUGGGGCUCGGCCCUGACGUAGAUGAGCCCCCAGGAAGGCCUGGGUGGUCCUUGUGCACGGAGGGCCGGAGAGACCACAGGGGUGCUGCCCACUCGGCUGUGUUCCCGGCCUCACUCCCCACUCGCUGCGGCCCUCCUGCUCCUUUGCAGCUCUGGUGCGGGGGCCCUGCUGCCCCCUCAGCAUGGCGGGGCCUGGGCCCAGUGCGAGGCUCCAGCCCGCCUACUGGAGGGUCGUCAUGGGCCAACCCCGACUCCUGGGAACGAGUGUGCAGAGGGUGUAACCCAGCCCAGGGAGGCCCAGGUGAGCGGGGAGGCUGCCCUGCUCCAGCUUCUGCUGCACAGGCCGCGAGGGCCCUCCCGGCCUCUGACCCCUCGCCUUUCACGAGGAGCUCGGGGCGGCCAAGGAGAGCCCUGCCCCUCCCCGAUUCGGGGUCUGACUCCUUUCGGGGCGUCCUGCUCUGGUUUGUGCAGGCUUUCUGUGUCCCCCAGGCCCUCUACCGGGAGCAGCUGGGGCCCCGCCGCUGGCACCAGCCGUCCAGGGCCUCCUGGUUGAUGAGGGGACGGAUGGGACCUGGUGAGGCCGCGGGUGAUGGUGUCGCCACGGCCCUGGCAUGGAUGGACAGAACGCACUCGACCUCUGGCUUGACCUCAUCCCUUAUUCCCCGACUCGGCCCCUUCACGGCACGGGGCCCGGCGGGCAUCGGGGGACAGACUCCCGAAAGACGAUGUCAGGGCAGAGUGAGGAGGGGGCUGUGUCCGGACCCGCACCCCAAGCCGCGGGGCAGCGGGGUCUCUGCCUGCUCCUCUGGGGCCCCGUCCAGUGGCACCUGCAGUGGCUGAGCGGUGUGCCUAGCUUCUCCACGCCCCAGGAGCAGCACGGGCCCGCGGCAGCCAGGAGGGGCAGCAGGGUCAUGGUGGGGAGCUCCUGCCCGGCUCCCCAGACGGCAGCUGCAGCCUCUGCACCGGCCCCUCCUUCCUGCUCCCUCUCUGGGCAAAGACGUUGGCACCGGUGCCUGGAGGGGCCGGGACUGCUCCGCGGAGCCCACCCCCAGCCCACGGCCCUAGCUUACACAUGUGAUGCUGAGGAGGGUGCAGGGCCAGCCUGCAGCACUGCUCACGGCCACCCAGCGCACGGUCACCGCGUCCGUGGCGACGGGCUGUGACUCCGUGAGGCAGACUGGGUCAGGGCUGCUCAGCCGGCCAGCCCAUCCCCACCCAAGCCCCGGUCACACCACAGCCCCACCACAACCCUCAAGCAUCCCACCCUCUGCCCCUGUUCCCUCACCUUCUCCCGGGGGUCUGGCAGGCACAGGGAGACCAGCAUGCGAGUGCCGUGCUCCCACACCAGCUCCCAGAGCUCUGCGGGCCCCGGUCAGCAUGACGUGAUCGCGGCCAGAGGGCCCGCCCUGCAAAGCACAGGGUGUCCCCUGCCCAUCUCAGCUCUAGGACCCCCAGCCUCCCAGGCCCAGACCAGGAAGCACCAAUGGCCCAAGGGCAUGGUCCCACGGGGAAGAGCCAGGCUUCGGGCAUCUCUCCAGCAGGGCCGUCCUCUGUCGGAGGGGACUGCCCGUGACAACAGCCGUCUGCGGGACGAGGGUAAGGGUGAGGCUGCCGGAGGUCCCAGCCUGGACGACGCCCGAUGCCCCGUCCACCCGCAAGCCCACUGGCACUCACGGGAGGCCAUGCCGUCCUGCCCACGGCCAGGAGAGGGCAUCGCAGAGCCGGCCUGGUCCUUGAGGGCCUGGAGCGGAAGCUGGGGAGGGUGAUGGGCAGAGGGGCACCAUGAGACAGGCCGCAGAAGUGGUGGCACGAGGGGACCCCGCGUCGUCGUGCCGCCCGGCCCGCAGCUACCUUGUGCUCCCCCAAGAAGCCAGCGUCGCCAGAUCACGCCUGGGGAGAAAGCUCCGCACGGGGAUGGGCUGCGGCCUGGGCGGGGCGCGGGGCGCGGGCUGCGUCAGGGGUGCCAGAGGCUGCCCAGCUCCCGCUCUUGGUCUCCUCGGCCCUGCGUGGACGGAGCUGGCAGCCUGUUGGUGGGAGGGACGGGGACCCUGCCCCGCACCGGGCCAGGUUCCCGGUGCUGCACGUACUCAGAGGUGCCGGGGGGCCCCUUCCAGGACCCUGCUCAGGAGGCAGCCGUGCAGGAAGAUGUACUGGCUCUGGGGGGUGGGAAGGGAGGCGGUCAGCUAAGGGACUGUGGCCCAGCAGGGAGACUUCCAGGCCCUGACCAGCCAGACGGCCUGGGGCAGGGGAGGGGCUUUGGGGAGCCUUCCCGUGGGGCCCCUCCGCAUCAGAGCUGGCAGGGGCCCUCCUACCUCCCACCCCCGGCACAAAGGGAAACAGAAGCCCCGAUAGGAGGGUGAGUGUCCGAGCCCCUCCCCCGGGGUUCUUCCCUGGCCCCUGGGGACCCUGUGGCCCGGCCAUCUGCCCCACCCCCUCCCAGGGUCCGCAGCCCACCCGCCUUGCCCUCACCGGGGUCUGGAUCAUGAGGGGCCAGUCCAGGCGCAGCGAGCACACCGUGUGGAAUAGUCCACUGUAUCCUCCUCCCCCAGCUGCUGCAGCAGCCCUGACAGGGCCACAAAGGUGUCCGAGCGGCCCACGCCUGCACUGCGGGUCAGAGGGCCCAGGGCUGUGAAGCGGGGCCCUUCCCUAGCCCACCCCACCACCCGCCACCUGCCCCGCCUGCCUGCACCAGGACGGGCCCCGCUCCUCUCCCGAACAGGGUCCACAAAGGCCAGCAGGGAGCUGGGGGUCUCGGGGACGCUGUGGUCUGGCCGGGUGGCGAACUGCGGUUGCUUCACUGUCCACUGCAGUUGCUGGGCAGCCCGGAGGCUGGGGGGCAGAGGAGCCGCUUCUCCGUCCCCUCCUAACCCACUGUCCUCUGCUCAGCCCUCAUUCUGUCACCAGAUCUUGAGGGCGGGGUGGUGCCCCUCAUGCUGGGAUGCUCCCCUCAGCUCCUCCAACCCCCCGGGAAGUCUGCCUGCAGGGGGCCCAAGGGGGAGGGGGACACUGCUGCCCCAGGAGGACACAGCCUGGCAUGGCGGAUGGGGCCCAGGGGUCUGGGGUGAGCGGGGGCCCUGAGCCGGGUGCAGGACAGGGCAGAAACCGUCCCUUCUCACCCAACUUCGGAUGACCCUUAGCCUUCCCUGUGCUUCCCUACCCUCCCUAACCUCCAACCUCCUGGGCAAGGGGGAGGCCAGGGGCCCAGGAGGUGAGCUGACCUUCUAAGGAGUCACAACCCCUCGCUCGCGGGUACGCACGUGCUGCAUCUGGAAGUCCCGCGCGGUCCACUCGUCCUCGGGCUCCUCGGCCAGGAGGUGGACGAUGUGACCGUGGGUGACAGGGGUGGAGUCGGCUGGCCAGUGGUGCUCACGUAGCACCUAGGGCCAGAGGGAUGUGGGCCCCCCCAUCACUGCCACCCCUGCUGUAUCAGCACCUCCCACCCACCUGUCUGUCUCCGCCACCCUGCUUGUCCGGAAGCCUCUCUCCCCCGGCCCGGCCCUAGCACCUCCACCCCCAGACCUCUAUGUGACCCCUGGGACUUCCAGGCAGCUGCCGGGCUCCUGUGCAAACUGCAUGGCCUUACUUAGGACCACCUGGCCUGGCCUCUCCGCUCCAGCUGGAGGGGCUCCAAGGUGUCCCAGGGCCCCGCACGGAGCAGGGCACAGGCACGUUUAAAACAAGGACGCAGACUGGGCCUGGAGCAGGGGAGGGUGGUCUCGGCGAGAAACAGCAGAGGCGAUGGAGGCGAGUCCAGCUGGGAGCCUGGGUUCCUGGUCUCCUUCCCUGCCCCAUCCUGGGCGGCCUGGGGACCCCACCAACCCCCAGGCCUCACCUGGCCUCCCAGACCCACAGCUGGUCCUGUGGGGAGAGCCUGCCACCUGGUGGCCACCCCGGGGGCUGUGGCACGCUCACCCGCCCACUCUCCAUGCCCACCGUCAGCAUGACGACGACCUGGACCUGCUGCUCCCACGCCAGCUGCCAGAAGUCCUCCAGGGUCUUCUUCAGAAGCCCCUGGGUGGUGAUGAACUCCUGUGGGCGGGUGUAGCCCUGGGGGCGGGCAGGAUCACAUUAACUGGGGCCCCAGCCCACAGCCACGCAUCCCACGGGUGACCUCUGGGAGUGAGGACUUCGUGUGCAGGUCGAUACGUGUGCACACACGUGAACACACGUGCGCCAAGGACCCAAAUCAGGAGGGUGACUUGGAGACAGCCCCACCUCGAUGGGACGAUGACAAGACACUGAUGGCCCCGAAGUAGCCUCCCCAGGCCACCCCUUCACCACCCGACCCACACCACCUGCAUUUCUCCCAGGGCUCCACUGCCCACCCAGCUCCCCGAGGCCAGCACUCAGUCCCUCCUCCAACAGCCCCAUCUGCCUCUCCUGCCUCCGCCCGAUGACCCCGCCCCACUCUGUCCACAUGCACCGCCCGGCUCUUCUCUGGGUCUGUCCAGCUGCAAUGUCUGCCCCUCCUUCAUCACUUAUCAGGAUUCUGCUCAUCCUUCAAGAGAUCAAAUGCCCCCUCCUCCAGGAAGCCUUUCUUGAUUCCAAGGUGGACUAAACGUUCCUUCUUCACGAGCUCUGAGCACCACACGUGUGCCCUUAUUACAGCACCCGUCAUGCCGCGUGGCAGGUGUCACACACAUACACACACACACACACACACAACUCCUGCUCCUUUGAAGGUGGGAAUCCGUGUAGCCCAGCCCUGCCUCCUGCGGUCCCAGCACAGCGACCAACACACAAGACACACAAGCUGGCAGUCUUCGUGGACGGCUAGGGCAGGACAGCGUGUCCUGCAAACCGGGCCCCUCCCGAGUGGACGCCGCAGCCAGCGCGCAGGCGGCUCUACCUGCUGGUGGAUGAAGCUGGUGUUGACGUAAUGGGAGUGAGGCUCUCCGUCCAGCGGGGUCAGCCUGACCCGGCAGUGGUCAUCUGCAGACGCUAAAAGCCGCGCAUUCAGGGCGGGCACACGCAGCGCCUCCUCCGGGCCGAGCUCCGGCCCGCACACCCCUGCCUGCCAUGCUCACAGGGCAGCACGAGAGGGUAGCGGUUCUCGUGGUGUCGGCAGGGUGCAGAGACGGGGGCCGAAGCAGACCCAUGUCACCCCCACACCGGGGGCGGGGUCGUGCACAGCUGGGGCCCCCCAGAGCCUGGGGGCGGCAGAGGCCUCACCUCGAACUCCUGAAAGCCUGGUGGGCACAGGUGCUCUUGGCCUCGUAGCCCUGUCGGAAGCUGUGGGCAGGGAUGGGCCAGUGGGUCCACCUGGGGGAAGAGGGAAGAGUAGGCGGCGGCCCUGGUGUGCAGAGUCCUGCCCUGGGCGCCGGUAGGGGCCAGAGAGAGGGGGCAGGGCAAACAGGACCACACUCGGAGGAGGUGGGCAUGAGUGUCUGAGGCCCCGACCCCGGGUCCUGAGGAUGGCUCUGGGCACAGCUGCUCGCAGCGCCGCUCAGGGUGCGGCCGAGAGAAGGAAGAACAGUAGCGAUAUUGGGAAGAUUGCGAAAUCCAACGUCGGAGAGAAAGAAGGAGACGGAAGCGACUUGGCCCGCAACCGUCCAGGUGCACAGCAGGCCCAGCAAGGCGCCAAGCGCAAGGCCACCGCCCGCUGCGACACCCACCGCUGCUGGGAGGGGCUCUGUGGACGGAGACGGAAGGGUGAGCUGGGCAGCCCCGACCUGCCACCCCGUGAGACACACCAGCCUCCCCUGGGCCCGAGACCCCCUGGGUGGAGGGCGCAGUGACAGCCCUCACCCUGCAGAAGGAAGUCCCAGAUGCCGAACCGAGGCCAGAGAAGGCUGCCGGGGGGACCACCCUGGACGGGCACCGAGAACGGCCUGUGAGCCCUCCCUGCCCCCAGCUCCUGAGCAGGGCCCCCCCAACACCCCUGAGGACGAGAGGGCGGAGGCCUGGCCCCGCACCUUCUGGAGCUGCUCCGUCCAGUACGGUCGCCACGUGCCCUGGGCUACUCUACUGAGCACCUGAACCGGAGCGGCUCCGAUUUCAGAUUCGCCGCAAGCAUAAGCUACACACAGGAUUUCAAAGUCUUAUUGAUUAGAAGAAAAGGAUGUAAAACCUCUCAUUAAUCAUUUAAAAAAGUCGAUCACACGUUGAUACGAUAUCUUUAGUAUCUUGGUUUAAAUAAAACGUGGCUGAGAUUAACGGCACCUGUUUAUUUUUCUCUUUG